GCCGGGCUAGCUCAAUCGGUAGAGCGUGCGGCUCUUAACCGCAAGGCUGCGGGUUCGACCCCCGCGUUCGGCU
rnacentral:tRNA from 5 species